CCUACGGGAGGCUGCAGUGAGGAAUAUUGGUCAAUGGACGAGAGUCUGAACCAGCCAAGUAGCGUGAAGGAAGACGGUCCUAUGGAUUGUAAACUUCUUUUAUAAGGGAAUAAAACGAGGCACGCGUGCCGUUUUGAGUGUACUCGAUGAAUAAGGAUCGGCUAACUCCGUGCCAGCAGCCGCGGUAAUACGGAGGAUGCGAGCGUUAUCCGGAUUUAUUGGGUUUAAAGGGAGCGUAGAUGGGUUGUUAAGUCAGUUGUGAAAGUUUGCGGCUCAACCGUAAAAUUGCCGUUGAUACUGGUUUUCUUGAGUACAUUUGAGGUAUGCGGAAUGCGUGGUGUAGCGGUGAAAUGCUUAGAUAUCACGCAGAACUCCGAUUGCGAAGGCAGCUUACUAACCUUUGACUGACAUUGAUGCUCGAAAGUGUGGGUAUCAAACAGGAUUAGAUACCCCUGUAGUC
rnacentral:rRNA from 1 species